rnacentral:tRNA from 1 species
UGGGAUAUAGCUUAGUGGUAGAGCAUUUGCCUAGCAUACAUGAGGCCCUGGGUUGAAUCCCAAGUAUAACAA